GUAGGGAAUUUUUCACAAUGGGCGCAAGCCUUAUGAAGCAAUGCCGCGUGAACGAUGAAGGUCUUAUAGAUUGUAAAGUUCUUUUAUAUGGGAAGAAACGCUAAGAUAGGAAAUGAUUUUAGUUUGACUGUACCAUUUGAAUAAGUAUCGGCUAACUAUGUGCCAGCAGCCGCGGUAAUACAUAGGAUGCAAGCGUUAUCCGGAUUUACUGGGCGUAAAACGAGCGCAGGCGGGUUUGUAAGUUUGGUAUUAAAUCUAGAUGCUUAACGUCUAGCUGUAUCAAAAACUGUAAACCUAGAGUGUAGUAGGGAGUUGGGGAACUCCAUGUGGAGCGGUAAAAUGCGUAGAUAUAUGGAAGAACACCGGUGGCGAAGGCGCCAACUUGGACUAUCACUGACGCUUAGGCUCGAAAGUGUGGGGAGCAAAUAGG
rnacentral:rRNA from 1 species